rnacentral:rRNA from 1 species
CCUACGGGAGGCUGCAGUGGGGAAUAUUGGGCAAUGGAGGAAACUCUGACCCAGCAACGCCGCGUGAAUGAUGAAGGUCUUCGGAUUGUAAAGUUCUUUUCUAAGGGAAGAAGAAAGUGACGGUACCUUAGGAAUAAGCCUCGGCUAACUACGUGCCAGCAGCCGCGGUAAUACGUAGGAGGCAAGCGUUAUCCGGAAUGACUGGGCGUAAAGGGUGCGUAGGUGGUUUGACAAGUUGGUAGCGUAACUCCGAGGCUCAACCUCGGCACUACUACCAAAACUGUCGGACUUGAGUGCAGGAGGGGCAAAUGGAAUUCCUAGUGUAGCGGUGGAAUGCGUAGAUAUUAGGAGGAACACCAGUGGCGAAGGCGAUUUGCUGGACUGUAACUGACACUGAGGCACGAAAGCGUGGGGAGCAAACAGGAUUAGAUACCCGAGUAGUC